rnacentral:rRNA from 1 species
UACGGGGGGGGCAAGCGUUGUUCGGAAUUACUGGGCGUAAAGGGCUUGUAGGUGGCCAACUAAGUCAGACGUGAAAUCCCUCAGCUUAACUGGGGAACUGCUUCUGAUACUGGAUGGCUUGAGUUUGGGAGAGGGAUGCGGAAUUCCAGGUGUAGCGGUGAAAUGCGUAGAUAUCAGGAGGAACACCGGUGGCGAAGGCGGUUCUCUGGGCAUGUCCUGACGCUGAGGAGCGAAAGUGUGGGGAGCGAACAGG